AUGUCGGUCGAUGUUCUUCCUACGACUAUGAUGGAAAGGGUUUUGCCUCAACCUCUUCUAAUGGAUUCUCGAGGGGAAACCUCCUUAGGGUAUGCUAGAGGUGUUGGUAUCCUUAGUGAUUCUUUGCUUGAACAUUUGAACUAUGCAUUGAUUGAAAGCAUGCAAAAUGGAUCAAGAAAUCACCAAAACAACACAAGAGAUCAGGCCAAUGACUUUUUCUAA